ACUUUACUCACAAAAACAAAAAGGCUGAUGUCAAAUAUGUCCUCUUUCCCUACUUAAUGGAUUUGGUUACUUCAUCUCUUGUCUUCAAGCCUGGGAUUCCAUUUUUGAUAAAGGUACAAGUAAAGAAUGUGGUCAGCCAUGCUGUUAAAGGGAUUGCUGUAAUGUUGAAAGCAAAAGCAGUUCAGGAAGCAACAAAGACAGACCUGGAUGUAAGACGAA